UACCUAUCAGUGAAAGUCUCGUCUAAAU
rnacentral:sRNA from 1 species